AGCCGCGGUAAUACAGAGGUCUCAAGCGUUGUUCGGAAUCACUGGGCGUAAAGGGUGCGUAGGUGGCGUGGUAAGUCAGAUGUGAAAGCCCAGGGCUCAACCCUGGAAUUGCAUCCGAUACUGCUGUGCUAGAGUACUGGAGGGGUGACUAGAAUUCUCGGUGUAGCAGUGAAAUGCGUAGAUAUCGAGAGGAAUACCAAAGGCGUAGGCAGGUCACUGGACAAUUACUGACACUGAGGCACGAAGGCCAGGGGAGUGAACG
rnacentral:rRNA from 1 species